rnacentral:rRNA from 1 species
UACGAAGGGGGGCUAGCGUUGCUCGGAAUCACUGGGCGUAAAGCGCACGUAGGCGGAUCUUUAAGUCAGGGGUGAAAUCCUGGAGCUCAACUCCAGAACUGCCUUUGAUACUGGGUAUCUCGAGUAUGGAAGAGGUGAGUGGAAUUCCGAGUGUAGAGGUGAAAUUCGUAGAUAUCGGGAGGAACAUCAGUGGCGAAGGCGACCACCUGGCCCAACACUGACGCUGAGGUGCGAAAGCGUGGGUAGCAAACAGG